AGAAUAGUAGUUGCAAAAAUAGCUUUGUUAUUUGUUUUUUUUUAUUCUACUUUUUUUCUUGCGAGAUAUGUUUGUGUUUUCU
rnacentral:ribozyme from 16 species